GAUGAACGCUAGCGGCAGGCUUAACACAUGCAAGUCGAGGGGUAGAGGAAGCUUGCUUCCUUGAGACCGGCGCACGGGUGCGUAACGCGUAUACAAUCUACCUUUUACAGAGGGAUAGCCCCAGAGAAAUUUGGAUUAAUACCUCAUAGUAUUUUCGGAUCGCAUGAUUUGAUUAUUAAAGUUCCAACGGUAAAGAUGAGUAUGCGUCCAUUAGCUAGAUGGUAAGGUAACGGCUUACCAUGGCAAUGAUGGGUAGGGGUCCUGAGAGGGAGAUCCCCCACACUGGUACUGAGACACGGACCAGACUCCUACGGGAGGCAGCAGUGAGGAAUAUUGGUCAAUGGACGCAAGUCUGAACCAGCCAUGCCGCGUGCAGGAUGACGGUCCAUGGAUUGUAAACUGCUUUAUACAGGAAGAAACCCUCCCACGUGUGGGAGCUUGACGGUACUG
rnacentral:rRNA from 1 species